UCUGACCAGCCAUGCCGCGUGGAGGAUGAAGGUCCUCUGGAUUGUAAACUUCUUUUAUCGGAGAAAAAACCCAGACAUUCCUGUUUGGUUGACGGUACCCGAUGAAUAAGCACCGGCUAACUCCGUGCCAGCAGCCGCGGUAAUACGGAGGGUGCAAGCGUUAUCCGGAUUCACUGGGUUUAAAGGGUGCGUAGGUGGGUUGGUAAGUCAGUGGUGAAAUCUCCGGGCUUAACUCGGAAACUGCCGUUGAUACUAUCAAUCUUGAAUAUUGUGGAGGUAAGCGGAAUAUGUCAUGUAGCGGUGAAAUGCUUAGAUAUGACAUAGAACACCGAUAGCGAAGGCAGCUUGCUACACAAUAAUUGACACUGAGGCACGAAAGCGUGGGGAUCAAACAGGAUUAGAUACCCUGGUAGUCCACGCCCUAAACGAUGGAUACUCGACAUACGCGAUACACAGUGUGUGUCUGAGCGAAAGCAUUAAGUAUCCCACCUGGGAAGUACGACCGGAAGGUUGAAACUCAAG
rnacentral:rRNA from 1 species